rnacentral:rRNA from 1 species
AUUUAAGCUUAAGAAGGUGUACGACGAAUGCCUAGGGACAAGAUGCCGAUGAAGGACGCGAAAGCGGCGAAACGCCCAGGGGAGCUGCACAGAAGUGUUGAUCCUGGGAUAUCCGAAUGAGGAAACUCCUCCAGAGUAAUGUUUGGGGAUCCGGUUCUGAAUACAUAGGAAUCGUGAAGGCAACCUGCUGAACUGAAACAUCUAAGUAAGCAGAGGAAAAGAAAUCGAAGAGAUUCUGCAAGUAGCGGCGAGCGAACGCGGAAGAGCCUAAACCAAGGGGUUUACUCCUUGGGGUCGUGGGGCCACUACUACCAUCCCCCUCGAAUUGAGGUCUAGAACUUCAGUUCGAGGUUGGUAGAAAAGAAGAUCGAAGCUAGUUAAAAGAAGAGCAUUGGAAAGUGCCGCCAUAGAGGGUGAUAGCCCCGUAUUUGAAAACUCAGAUCGAAUUCAAGUGGUACCCGAGUAGCACGGAGCACGUGGAACCCCGUGUGAAUC